rnacentral:RNase_P_RNA from 2 species
GGUGGGGGAAGCUCAUCAGCAGAGCUACCUGCUGAGUGCUCGUCACUCCCUGGCCCCUGGGAAGAUCUGAGACUAGGGCCUCCCAUGGCCCUAACUGGGCCCUCCCCAAUCAGGGAGGUGAGUUCCCAGAGAACAGGUAUCCACACAUGGGCAGGCUGGGCAGGAGAGGCCGCGAGUGGGCAGAUGACUCCCUCGCCAGAGCUUGGAACAGACUCACAGUCAGGGUGGGCAGUAUUAGCAUGCAGGGAAAGCUCUGUGGCU